AAGGUUUCCGUAGGUGAACCUGCGGAAGGAUCAUUAACGAAUAAACCUGUGUGGGUUGUUGCUGACCAUUUUGUGGUAUGUGCACGCCUGCCAUCGUUUCAUUCACUCUUCCACCUGUGCACUUUCUGUAGGCUGCGCUGUUCUUUCGGGUUCUUGAAUCCCGGCAUGAGGAAUUGCCUUACUGGCAUUCCUUGGAUGGUUGCAGUCUAUGUCUUUAUCAACUCAUUGUAUGUAACUGAAUGUAUGAACUGGGCUUUCAUUGCCCAUAAAACCUUAUACAACUUUCAACAACGGAUCUCUUGGCUCUCGCAUCGAUGAAGAACGCAGCGAAAUGCGAUAAGUAAUGUGAAUUGCAGAAUUCAGUGAAUCAUCGAAUCUUUGAACGCACCUUGCGCUUCUUGGCAUUCCGAGGAGCAUGCCUGUUUGAGUGUCAUUAAAUCCUCAACCCCAUCUUCCUUGUGAAGUGGUCAGUUGGACUUUGGGAGCUGCUGGCUUGGUGUCAGCUCUUCUGAAAUAAAUUAGCAGGGAACCUUAUGUGCUGGACUGCAGCUUGGUAUUGAUAGUUGUCUUACCAGGUGACAGUCAGGCAUUCACUCUGCUCACAGCCGUCUCUACUUGAGACAAGUGACUUGACGAUUUGACCUCAAAUCAGGUAGGACUACCCG
rnacentral:rRNA from 1 species